rnacentral:rRNA from 1 species
AUGCAGUCGAGCGACAGAUGAGAAGCUUGCUUCUCUGAUGUUAGCGGCGGACGGGUGAGUAACACGUGGGUAACCUACCUAUAAGACUGGAAUAACUCCGGGAAACCGGGGCUAAUACCGGAUAAUAUUUUGAACCGCAUGGUUCAAUAUUGAAAGACGGUUUCGGCUGUCACUUAUAGAUGGACCCGCGCCGUAUUAGCUAGUUGGUAAGGUAAUGGCUUACCAAGGCGACUAUACUUAGCCGACCUGAGAGGGUGAUCGGCCACACUGGAACUGAGACACGGUCCAGACUCCUACGGGAGGCAGCAGUAGGGAAUCUUCCGCAAUGGGCGAAAGCCUGACGGAGCAACGCCGCGUGAGUGAUGAAGGUCUUCGGAUCGCAAAACUCUGUUGUUAGGGAAGAACAAAUUUGUUAGUAACUGAACAAGUCUUGACGGUACCUAACCAGAAAGCCACGGCUAACUACGUGCCAGCAGCCGCGGUAAUACGUAGGUGGCAAGCGUUAUCCGGAAUUAUUGGGCGUAAAGCGCGCGUAGGCGGUUUCUUAAGUCUGAUGUGAAAGCCCACGGCUCAACCGUGGAGGGUCAUUGGAAACUGGGAAACUUGAGUGCAGAAGAGGAGAGUGGAAUUCCAUGUGUAGCGGUGAAAUGCGCAGAGAUAUGGAGGAACACCAGUGGCGAAGGCGGCUCUCUGGUCUGUAACUGACGCUGAUGUGCGAAAGCGUGGGGAUCAAACAGGAUUAGAUACCCUGGUAGUCCACGCCGUAAACGAUGAGUGCUAAGUGUUAGGGGGUUUCCGCCCCUUAGUGCUGCAGCUAACGCAUUAAGCACUCCGCCUGGGGAGUACGACCGCAAGGUUGAAACUCAAAGGAAUUGACGGGGACCCGCACAAGCGGUGGAGCAUGUGGUUUAAUUCGAAGCAACGCGAAGAACCUUACCAAAUCUUGACAUCCUUUGACCGCUCUAGAGAUAGAGUCUUCCCCUUCGGGGGACAAAGUGACAGGUGGUGCAUGGUUGUCGUCAGCUCGUGUCGUGAGAUGUUGGGUUAAGUCCCGCAACGAGCGCAACCCUUAAGCUUAGUUGCCAUCAUUAAGUUGGGCACUCUAGGUUGACUGCCGGUGACAAACCGGAGGAAGGUGGGGAUGACGUCAAAUCAUCAUGCCCCUUAUGAUUUGGGCUACACACGUGCUACAAUGGAUAAUACAAAGGGCAGCGAAUCCGCGAGGCCAAGCAAAUCCCAUAAAAUUAUUCUCAGUUCGGAUUGUAGUCUGCAACUCGACUACAUGAAGCUGGAAUCGCUAGUAAUCGUAGAUCAGCAUGCUACGGUGAAUACGUUCCCGGGUCUUGUACACACCGCCCGUCACACCACGAGAGUUUGUAACACCCGAAGCCGGUGGAGU